rnacentral:tRNA from 1 species
GUAGCCUAGUGGUCAUGGCAUCUGCCCGGUAAGCGGAACAAUGUGGGUUCGAUUUCCAGUACA